rnacentral:tRNA from 1 species
CGGCACGUAGCGCAGCCUGGUAGCGCACCGUCAUGGGGUGUCGGGGGUCGGAGGUUCAAAUCCUCUCGUGCCGC